rnacentral:tRNA from 1 species
GCCUCUAUAGCUCAGUUGGGAGAGCUGUCCCCCGGAUAGGGAAAGGGCGUGGGUUCGACCCCCACUGGAAGCA